rnacentral:lncRNA from 1 species
GGAAGUUGUGAGUUUAAAUAUAAGCAUCCACUUCGAAGGAACUAACGUCCAGUCUACUAGCAAACAUCAAAGACAUCAGCAGCUGCAGACCAGUCCACUCAGCAGACAGCAUGCAUGAAUCAACAAGAGCAGUUCAAUCCAGAAGAAACCCCAAGGCUUGACAAUAGGCCCAAGUCAGCAGAUGCAGCAAGAAGCCACAGGCACCUCACUUCACGAGAAGUUUCUCUCUAUGAAGUCACUACACUCGAAGCUCAGCAACAUAAUGCCCCAGGAACAUUUGAAGUACCUAUUUAAUGAGAAGACUUCUGGAGAAGCCUAGGCACUCUGCUGGGCACAAGGGUUUCUCCAUAUUCAUACCAGAUGGGGAAGCAGGAAAAUGAACUCCAGAGAGGAGGAGACAAGAAGCACCAUCUCUGCAGACAGAGCCCUUCCUAAAGUGGAAGAUUCUAGAAGGCUGACCUCCGGGGCCAAGUCUGGACUGCGCAGGGUAGCCUGGGGAAGCUCUGCCGAACAACAAUAACAUGCACGGUCUGCCCAAGGCAUGUGGAGUGCAAGGCACUCUGAAAAUUGGGCUCAAAACAACUUCUUUAUUUGAGACAAAAAGCCCUUUGUGUGGGUCUUCCUCCCUCAGCCUACAGAGGAUUCGUGUUCAGUGAGGCAGCAGCUCCUGUCUCCCCAGAGCUGCCUCAGGUAGAGACACUGCCUGACUGCCAGUGGCCAUGCAUCUGUGACCAUUACACGGGCCUAAGUGGGUUUGGGAGCUUUACCUUAGGAAUUAAGUAAGAAAAAUGAAGGCCCAAGCAGGGCACAGUGUAGCUCAGACAAUUUUGUCUUCUCUUGAUGUGAAUGAGACCUAAAUUGGGAAGUCUUUGGCCGAUGGCGAGGGCAGAUAAAUGUUAUGGAUUUGAUGUAAUCCCAGACCUCAGACUUGAAACUCAGCUUGACCCUUCCCUUUGAGCACAGGGAAGGAAGCAGAGGAGGGAGAUCGGCUCAACCAUAUGUCAAGUCGGGAGAGAAAAUGACAGCCAGAGCAAGGUGGAGAUGUGCAGAGUCAGGGGUGGAGACAACUAAAGAGAAGUCUGCAAAGUUACAUAGAUACAAUGUGUCCUUCAGGAGACAAACAGGCGGCUGUGAGAAGUGAGGGAAGAUACUUCAUGAUGGGAUCUGUGGAGUGGCACUGUGGAGCGGGACUGGAGGCGUCUGCUGCUCAGAAAUCCAAAUACCCACAAGGCCUGGGAUUGAGUGUGCAGCAGUGGCAAGCUGGACUCAUGUGCACCAAGUGCUGGGAAAAGGUGUCAGUGGCAUGGAGGCAGGAGAGUUCCCACGAGCAGCUCAGAAUUGUUUAGCUAGCACUUGGUUUGCAGAAAGUGAAGUGUCUGUGUCCUUUCAAGGGGCUGGUAUCAUAAAUACCCUGGUCACAUGUA